AAGUCGUAACAAGGUUUCCGUAGGUGAACCUGCGGAAGGAUCAUUAACACGUUUUUAACGUUUAAUGUACCUUAACAUUAUAAACUAAACCGGUAACCUAAAACCUCCCUAACAAGAGGAUGACUGUUCGUGGAACCCAUGGUGGGUACAGCUUGCUGUACGGUGAAACGAACUAUCAGCUUCGAGCUGACAAGUUGUCUUUUUGUCAGGCUAACUCUUUUUAUCGCAUUCCAUCAUGUCUUUCUACUAUGAGAGACGACGGUAAUGUGGUAUAAAAACCCUAUUCACCCUUUUAACCCUAUUUGACUGAUGCGCAGGAAAGGCAGAUACAGUGCUUGCAUUGUUCUGUUCCUUAACUGAGUUUAUCUAAACUAAGCACAACUCUUAGCAAUGGAUAUCUUGGUUCUC
rnacentral:misc_RNA from 1 species